GAUACUGGUUAACUAGAAUACAGACGACGUGGGCGGAAUGCGACAUGUAGCGGUGAAAUGCUUAGAUAUGUCGCAGAACACCGAUAGCGAAGGCAGCUCACGAGGAUGUUAUUGACGCUCAUGCACGAAAGCGUGGGGAUCAAACAGGAUUAGAUACCCUGGUAGUCCACGCCCUAAACUAUGAUUACUCGUUGUUAGCUCAAUUGGGAGUUAGUGGCUAAGGGAAACCUAUAAGUAAUCCACCUGGGGAGUACGAUCGCAAGGUUGAAACUCAAAGGAAUUGACGGGGGCCCGCACAAGCGGAGGAGCAUGUGGUUUAAUUCGAUGAUACGCGAGGAACCUUACCUGGGCUCGAACGGUUAAAGACUUAAUGUGAAAGCAUUAUUCUAUUUAUAGCUUUAAUCGAGGUGCUGCAUGGUUGUCGUCAGCUCGUGCCGUGAGGUGUUAGGUUAAGUCCUGCAACGAGCGCAACCCUUACUUUUAGUUGCCAGCAUGUCAUGAUGGGGACUCUAAAAGAACUGCCGGCGCAAGCCGUGAGGAAGGUGGGGAUGACGUCAAAUCAGCACGGCCCUUAUGUCCAGGGCUACACACGUGCUACAAUGGUCGACACAGAGGGCAGCUACUUGGCAACAAGAUGCGAAUCUCUAAAUUCGAUCUCAGUUCGGAUCGAAGUCUGCAACUCGACUUCGUGAAGUUGGAUUCGCUAGUAAUCGCACAUCAGCCAUGGUGCGGUGAAUACGUUCCCGGGCCUUGUACACACCGCCCGUCAAGCCAUGGAAGCUGGGGGUGCCUAAAGUCCGUAACCGCAAGGAGCGGCCUAGGGUAAAAUCAGUGACUGGGGCUAAGUCGUAACAAGGUAACCGUA
rnacentral:rRNA from 1 species